CCAAACGAACCCUGGCGCUUCACUCAUUGCCCGACCCGAACCAAACCAUGCAAACCCAAGCGGAAAGCCAAGGCAAUCGGAGGAACGAAUCCGGAUCCGGAGGUCGGACUCAGAGGCGAUGAAGAACAAGGGAAACUCUGCGUCUCCGCGCACUCGGCGCCGCCUCUCAAUAGGCCACGGGGGAAGCGCAAGGCCCUGGCCGAGCUCGCCACGUCCAGCGGAGCGAACAUGAACCACGACUCGGCGCCGCGGCCAUCGAAGCCGAGAACGCGGUCGGCGGCGCGGAUUGAGGGCGAGGCGGAGGAGGCGAGGAAACGGCGGGAGUCCGGACUCCGGAGACUCCGCGCGCUGGCUGUUGGACACGAAGCCGCCUUACCCUGAAGCGGCGGUUGCGCCGUACGUCGGAGACAUCGACCGGUACCUCCGGUCCCUGGAGGUUGAACCGUUGAGGAGGCCAAGCCCUGGCUACUUUCAGGAUAUCCAGAAAGACAUCUGCCCCAAAAUGAGGGCUGUCGUUGUGGACUGGUUGGUGGUGUUGGCUGAAGAAUUCGAGCUUCACGCAGAAACUCUCCACCUCGCGGUUUCCUACGUGGACCGCUUCCUCACAAUGAAUGUCGUUGCUCGGGACAAGCUGCAACUACUGGCUGUCACUGCAUUGCUCGUUGCUGCCAAGUAUGAAGAAAUUGAGUCUGCUGAGAUGAAGGUGAACAUAUACAUUAAUAGCAUGGAUAACACUUACACCAAGCAGCAAGUGGUGAAGAUGGAGGCUGACUUACUGAAAUCUCUUAACUUUCAGAUUGGGGGUCCCACUGUAACAACAUUUUUACGAACUUGACACUUGAACAAAACACGGGGUAUAAAGUCUUUGAUCUGCAGAAAUCCAUUUAUGUCAUACAUGAACUGCAGUUGACAAUAAGGUGCCCAGAUCAGGAAGCCACCAGGAAGAAGUACAAGGACCCCAAGUUUGGGUGCGUGUCGACAAUGGUUUCACCACGAGAAAUCCCUACAUCUUUCCCUGAAGAUUGCCAUAAGUGAAGUCUGGACUUGGAGAAAGGUUUUUGCAGUAAUGCUGCUGGCGAUGUAGAAAAUAGCUUGAUUGUAGGAUAGUUGGUAUAAUACGUGCUAGUUCACAUUAGAAUAGUAAGACUGAAUUAAGCUUACCUGUUGAGUCUGAGAUCUUGAACAAGCCAUACAGUCAAGGUUUUGCUCA